AUCUGGAAAGUAGAAAGCAAGCCAGUGCUAGGAACGACCAAAUCACAUAGAGCUAGAUAGAGCUGGUGGCAUUUGUACGAUUUCUUUCCAACAUGAGCAAGCCAUGCGACGCCAAGACAGAGUGGCCUGAGCUGGUCGGACGCACGAUCAAGGAGGCGGAGGAGAAGAUCAAGGCGGACCGGCCGGACCUCAAAGUCAUCAUUGUCCCGGUAGGAAGUUUUGUGACAACAGACGUCGAUUUGAACCGCGUUCGCGUCUGGGUCGACACGGUGGCGGAGGUUCCCAAGAUUGGCUAAGCUAGCUUAAUUAGCCUAUCACUGGAAUAAAGGCCCAUGCAAGUCUCCACUUUGUUCAGUUAAUUGGCCGAAUAAAUAAGCAUGGGUACAGUCUGAAAAAUGUACGGAUGUGCUAUGUAAUGUUGUUUUGUAUGUGAGUUGUAAGCAUCAGUAAUAUUGUCGAGCCACUGUUUAUUGUUCAAGAAAUAUAAUCUACUUCAGCAUUAGGACAUGAUC